UACGUAGGGUGCGAGCGUUGUCCGGAAUUAUUGGGCGUAAAGGGCUCGUAGGCGGUUUGUCACGUCGGGUGUGAAAACUCAGGGCUUAACCCUGAGCCUGCUUCCGAUACGGGCAGACUAGAGGUAUGCAGGGGAGAAUGGAAUUCCUGGUGUAGCGGUGAAAUGCGCAGAUAUCAGGAGGAACACCGGUGGCGAAGGCGGUUCUCUGGGCAUUACCUGACGCUGAGGAGCGAAAGUGUGGGGAGCGAACAGG
rnacentral:rRNA from 1 species